CAGUGAUCUGAGAGGAACGCCUUUGGGUGAUCACAUAACCAAUGUUCCGGCAAUCUGAGAGGAACGCCUUCGGGUGAUUGCACACCAAUGUCACCGUAGCCUGAGAGGUGACGCCUUCGGGUGGUACAGCCCUUUAAUCUUUGGAAAUGGCUGUCGCAUUUUUUGCGAUGAAGAUAUCCUCAACAUUCACACUUCGAUACUCGUCUUUCAGCAUUUCCGGUGGGAAAUCUUCCCACUGUGGCAGGUUUUAUACCGGUAUUCCGGGUACAGACUGUUGAUCAUUUUGGUCCAGUGUCUUCUUUGAAGGAGCGCUCGUUCGUAUCGCUC
rnacentral:sRNA from 1 species